rnacentral:lncRNA from 10 species
UUUGCAUUGUAGUGUUCUCUAGAUGGCUCCGUGCAUGACACAAAACAAGAAUAAAUAUUAAAGUGCCAGUGUUAAAGAUUUUAAGUGAAUCUUGAAAAUCUGCUAGCCUUUAAGAGCAAACUUCUCUUCACCAAAGGAUGACUUAAAAUAAGAAAGGUAAUAAUGGUACGUCCCAGCUGUGUUUCAUUCUGGCUGUUUUCACAAACUUCCCUCUUCUCUUGGUGCUUCCUUUACCAAGUAUUUCAGAGAAAGCCGGUAUCUGUUCUGAACUAACACCUCACCCUGCAAAGACUUAAAGACUUCCCACUGGGUUCCAGCCGGCACACCCAACCUCUUCAGGACCUGUGAGUAAUAAAUUUAUUUUGUUUUAUGCAUGUUGGUUUUACCUCCUCUUUGUGUCUCACCUGACACACACACCUGAACCUUCCUUCCUUCCCAUUAGGGCUCUCCUAGACAGUGAUUAUCUUGGCACAUUGCCACGGUCAAGAGCGACACCUCAAGACCAAAUUAGAAACAGUCACAAUAGCUUCACUUCUGUCAAUGGUUCAGCCUGAGCAACAGGCAUAAACUUCAUUUUUCUUCACCUGAUACUCUCUGAUUCAACACCCUACAUUUCUGCCAGGCUUGUGUGGUCUCUUUAGAAUGGCCAUACUCUAAAAAAAUUGCAAAUGGAACUGCAAAUCCACUACCUGUGUGUCUUCGGACCAGCCAUGUCACUUUUGGAUUUCUCACUUAUGAGAUGCAGUAAUUGCCAGUUGCUCUCCCAAGCCUAAAGUACAAUGCCUUUUACCACAGUUAUUGAUGAACACUUAUCUGAAUUAAAAGGAACUUAGCAUCUUCUUAAC